CUGGCCUGUAGCAGCAGAAGUAAGGCAAUGCUGAGGGAAGGCAGGCGCUGAGAAGGAGCCAAACUUUGUCUAUGUCUGCUCAGAAGUAAGCCCUGUUGAAUUCAGAAGGGCUUCUUCCCAGAUAAAUGGAGUUAGAAUUGCAGCCUAACAAUGGUUGUGGAGCUUGGAAGGAAGAAUCCUACUCCUUUUUCUAGUGAUUGACUUCUGGGAUUGUCCAUGACAGCCACGUGCUCUGCUGGUCAAUAGUGCAUAAAGAUGUUCUUGGAUCUGUGAAAUAGAGAAAAACCCCAACAGAGAUCUGAAGGCAAGUGAAGACAAAGGUACCCAAAAGCUGUUGGUUUGUGAGGGAAAGUCAUAUGACUGCAUCUGAAGAAGAGACGACAAAGCAAGGCUCCUGUCCAUCUGCUGAGCUGCAACCAACUGCUGUAUGUGAAAGAGAGGAGUUUUGGCAGACGAUUUACAGGCUCCACAGCUUCCCAGCCUACAGCAGUAAACAUCCUUGUAUACCACUGUGGGAAACAUGAUGUACAACUUUCAUAAGCCCUAAACUGUGGACCUCCGUGAAUGCAUAGCAAAUGCUGGCUGUGCUUCAUGUAUUUAUGGAAAUGCAAGAAAAUGCUAUGUAUUUAAUUGAAAAUUAAGCAAUGUUCUCUUAUAAAUAAGAUUUGCACUCAUUUAACCUUUAAUAAUGCAUUAUUACAUCUGUU